UUGCUCAAAAGUUUUUUGGCCUUUUUGUAAUGAUAAAACCACUGGUUUUGUAUUUUUGCAAAAUCGGAUCACUUUUUUAAAUUUUACAAAUUGAGAUCGAGUUUUUGAAAAAUAGAACAAAAUACCUCUAUUUCUAUUCUUUCUCUAUCUAUUUCCGAGUUGAGCUAGAAUACUUCCAAAAGCACCAAAGAGAUUGUGCUUUUGAGUUUUUAGCCUUUGGAUGAAGAAACAUAGGGUUGGGACGAUGGUGGUAGGUAGUGGUAGGUGAAAUAGUGUUUGAUUCAAAGGAUAUUAAUAAUCAAGAAGUAGAUCCAAGAGCUAAAAAUUUAGAAGCACCAAAAAGAUGGUGCUUCUAAAAGUAUUCUAGCUCAAUUAUCUAUUUCCUCUCA
rnacentral:lncRNA from 1 species